GAACAUUUACUGAGGCAGGUGUUUGGUGCAAGUGGUGGGAAGCCACUUGCUGUGUCUAUAUCCCAUGUCAGAGUAUGUGGGUUCAAGUCCCAGCUCUGCUCUUGAUUCCAGCUUCCUGCUAAGGUCCACCCUGGGGGACAGCAGGUGAUGACUCAAGGACUUGAGCCAUCGCCUGCUGCCUCUCAGGGUGGGCAUUAGCAGGAAGCUGGAAUCAGAACCCAGGCACUGUGAUCUAAAAUGUAGGAGUCCCAAACAGUGUUGUUAUUUUUCUUCUUUUUUAAGAUUUUAUUUAUUUAUUUGAGAGGUAGAGUUACAGACAGUGAGAGGCAGAGACAGAGAAAGGUCUUCCAUCUGCGGGUUCACUCCCCAAAUGCCUGCAGUAGCUGGAGCUGAGCUGAUCCAAAGCCAGGAACCAGGAGCUUCUUCCAUGUCUCCCACGUGGGUGCAAGGGCCCAAGUGCUUUGGCUAUCUUCUAUUGCUUUCUCAGGCCAUAGCAGAGAGCUCAAUCAAAAGUGGAACAGCCAGGACUUGAACCAGCACCCAUAUGGGUUGCCAGCACCGCAGGCGGAGGAUUAACCCACUGCACCAGAGCGCCAGCUGUAUCUUAACCACUGCACCAUAUACCUCCCUUGGAUUUUUUGAAAAGUAAAUAUAUUGUACUAGAAGUAUGGUAAUUCAGUCUUUGCUAUACUUGUAGGAGUAGAGAAAAAGAAAGAAGCAAUCAUUCAUGAGGAGGGACUUUAUAAGUUUUUUAUGUUUAAAUAAAAAUAAGAAUUGGGCGGGUGUUUAGCAGUAAGAUGCCAGUUAAGACACCUGUGCCUCCUGUGUGCGUGCCUGGCUUUGGUUCCCAGGAACAGGGUAACGCUGCACCGCCUUGUGGCUUACUGCUGUCACCUGCCGCGCUUUGCCUAGUUGCUUCCCAUCUGGCGCAUCUUUGUGUUUGCUGCUGUUCUGCUCUGCAGAAGUGUGUGGGUGCUCGCUCUGCUCACCUUACCUCUGCUCAGGAGGCCCUGGCUCGCCUUAAUGUUUUAUUUAAUAAAUAUUGGAGACUGAGUGACAGAGAGAAAAGCAUAGUACCAGGCUAUGGGACAUCACAGAAGUAUAAGACACGGGCCCUGACUUUGAAGAGAUUAUCAUGCACCCAAGGAGAUGCGAUGGUUUCACACCCACUCGUUGUGUGAAGAUUUAUCUAGUACCUGCUUUUCAUUGUUUUUUGCCUUUUUUUUUUUUAAAGGAUUUAUUUAUUGUUUUGAGAGAGUUAUGGAGAGAGAUCUUCCAUCCACUAGUUCACUCCUGAGAUGACCACAAUAUAUGGGGCUGUGCUUGGCCGAAGCCAGGAGCCUGGAGCUUGACCCAGGUCUGUCGUGUGGCUGCUGUUUUCCCAAGUACAUCAGCAGAGAGUGGGACUGGCAGUGGAGUAGCCAGGACUGAAGCUGCAAUGCUGGGGUCGCCACUGCAGUUCAACCUGCUGUGCCACAACACCGACCCCAAUAUGAUUUUUUUUAAAAAAGAUUUUGCUUAUUUAUUUGAAAGCCAGAGUUACAAGAGGCAGAGGCAGAGAGAGAGGGCUCUUCCAUCCGCUGGUUUACUCACCAAAUGGUCACAACAGCUGAAGCUGCGCCGAUCCGAAGCCAGGAGCUGGGAGCUUCUUCCGGGUCUCCCACACGGGUGCAGGGCCCCAAGGACUUGGGCCAUCUUCCACUGCUUUCUCAGGCCACAGCAGAGAGCUGGAUCGUAAGUGAACAGCCAGGACUCAAACCAGCACCCAUAUGGGAUGUUGGCACUUCAGGUGACAGCUUUACCCGCCACGCCAUAGUGCUGACCCCCAAAAACAUUUUUUGUAGUUUUUUUCUUUUGGUAGUAUUAGACAAUGUGCUGCAUUAGUAAAUCAGCUGCCUUUGGGACUCAGGUCAUCAGAGUGCAUUACCUUGUGAGAUAUCACUUCCCUCCCUUUCUCAGCCAUCUCUAGCUCCUGCCUCAUUGUCACUUUCUGUGGUAUCCCCCUCAUCCUCAUGCCCUGGCAACCACACACCUGCGUCCCAGCACUUGCUAAUCCAAAUCUUUUGCUGCUGCACAUCUGCACUUGCACUGCUGGGUGUGGCUGAAGCCCCUCGCACAGCUGUGCUGACUGGCCUUCCUUUAAAUCCAUGACCAUGCCCCUUAAAGGGUUGGGUGGCACCCACUAGGAGGCCCACCGUACUGACUCUCCGUCUUUCUAAACAAUUUAACAUCUCUGUCCUUAAGCCUUCAGCAGUCUCCUUCCCUGGCGUGCCUUACUCUUAGUUGAUGACUUGACUUUUUAUUUCACUGGGAACAUGAAGGCAGUCAGAAGAGAACUACAAAUUCCUGUGCUCAUAUCACCUCUGUUUCUAGCAUCAGCGCUGGUGGACUCUGCCUCACCUCCUUAGUUACGGAAGCACUGGCUGUUCUUCCUGAGGCCACCUCCCCUCCUAGCCUAAUAAUUGCAUCUCACUUUGCCUCUCUCCCUUCCCUCUCUCCUACACCCUCAAAUUCUCUCUCCCUACAGUCAUGUUAUUUUCCUCAUCUAAAAGAGGGAGACCCUUUUGACCCUUACUCUCUCUCCAUGGGUUCAUUGCCACAUUACACUUUUUUAUUAUUAUUAUUAUUUGAAAGGCACAGUUACAGAGAGAGGGAGAGAUAGAGCGAUCUUCAUCAACUAGCUCACUCUCCAAAUGGCCUCAGUGGCUGGGGCUGGGUUGCAUGGAAGCCAGGAGCCAGUUUUUUCUUCUGGGUCUCCCACAGGGGUGCAAGGGCCCAAGCACUUGGCCCAUCUUGUGCUGCUUUUCCCGGACAUAUUAACAAGGAGCUGGAUAAGAAGUAGAGCAUCCAGGACUCAAAUUGGUACCCCUAUUGGAUGCAGGUGUUGCAGGUGGUGGCUUUACAACCCCAGCGCUGCCUGCCUAAUGUCUCACCUACUACUACUUCUUUUUAAGAUUGAUUUAUUUAUUUGAAAGUCAGAGUUAAACACAGAAGGAGAGGCAGAGAAAGAGAGAGGUAGGUCUUCCAUCUGCUGCUUCACUCCCCAAUUGACUGCAAUGGCUGGAGCUGUACUGAUCAGGAGCCAGGAGCCAGGAGCUUCUUCUGGGCCUCCCAUGUGGGUGCAGAGGCCCAAGGACCUGGGCCAUCUUCUACUGCUUUUCCAGGCCACAGCAGAAAGCUGGAUCAGAAGUGGAACAGCCGGGACUAGAACCGGCAUCCAUUUGGGAUGCUGGCACUGCAGGUGGCGACUUUACCCACUUUGCUACAGCACCGGCCCCUCACCUAGUUCUGAGAGCAGAGCUCUGCUCACUGUUGAAGUUGUCUCAGUCCUCAGAGUGUGGUCCAUAAAGCACCAGCAGCAAGGAGCUUGUUGGAAAUGAGGAAUACCGGUCCCACUCGAGAAUUAUUAAACUAAAUUCUGCGUUCCAAGAGGAUCCCCAGGUCAUUUGUGUACACACUGAAGUUGGGGGGCAUUGUUUUUGCUAGUUUUCUCUUUCACUGCCUUUUAAACUUAACCCAAGUUGUUUUCCUUCUUGCCAUCUGUAUUAAGUGUAGAGUUCCAGUGAUCUUUAGUCAAUUUACAGAGUUGUUCAACUAUUACCAUAAUCUAAUUUUAGAGCAUGAGAGAUUGAUUUUUUUAUUUUGUAUUUUAAUUAUGUAAAAAACAUUUACAUGGUUCCAACAUUUGAUAAUCAUUUUAUUUGUUUUUGACUCAACCUUCUGUUACAAUUAGAUGUUAUUUGAAUAGGAAGUUGAAGGAAUUAAGGGAACAUAAAAUUUGUGGUGUUUUGUAUUGGUUUUUCUUCCUAAUGAGAUAUAUGAAGUUGUAUUUAGAUAUAUAUAUAUAUAUACACAGGGUCUUUCAUAUUCUAAAAGAGAAUUUCUUUAUGCCUGUAAUUGCUUUGUACUCCAUGCUGUGAACCUACCUUAGCUUAUAUAACCACUUGACGCCUGAUUAUUUGUGACUUGAAAAAAAAUUUUAACUGAUGCUAGAGUGAAUAACCUUUGUACGGAGGCAGGUGUAUUUCUAUAGGGUAAAUUUCCCUGGGAGGUGCUUCUGGGUCAAAGGGCAAUUGUGUGUGUUUUUGAUAGAUAUUGCCAACUUGCCCUCCAUAGGGUUUGUACUAUUGUACUUCCACAAACAUGAGAGGACCUGCAGUAGUACCACGUUGCCAACAGUGUGUUGUCAGAUUUUUGCAUCUGUUCUGAAAUAUGAGAUAUUAGUGCAAGUUUUGUUUGUCCCUGAUGAUGAGUGAGGGUGAGCAUCAUUCUGUAUAUUUAAGAACAAGAUGUAUUUCUUUGUUUUUUAAAAGAUUUAUUUAUUUAUUUAUUUAUUUAUUUGAAAGGCAGAGUUAGAGGGAGAGACAGAGAUAGGCAUCCUCUAUCUACUGGUUCAUUAUUCCCCAAACGGCUAGAGAUGAGCCAGGGAAAAACCAGGAGCCUGGGGUUCUUCUAGGUCUCCCACACAGGUAGCAGGGGCUCAGGCACUGGUGCCAUCUUUCACUGUUUUCCCAGAUGCAUUAGUAGGGAGCUGGAUUGGAAAUAGAGCAGCUGGGACUCAAACAGGUGCUCAUUUGGGAUGCAUACAUCACAGGCAGAGGAUUAACCUGCUGUGCUACGAUGCCAGCCCCUGUGUUUUCUUUUCUUUAAAAAAGAGAGGGAGAGAGAGAUAGGUCCGCCAUUUGCUGGUUCACUCCCCAUUUGGCUGCAACGUCCGGAGCUGCGCCAAUCCGAAGCCAGGAGCUUCUUCUGGGUCUCUCAUGUGGCUACAGGGGUCCAAGCACCUGGGACAUCCUCUACUGCUUUCCCAGGCCAUAGCAGAGAGCUGGACUGGAAAUGGAGCAGCCGGGACACAAACCAGCCCCGAUAUGGGACGCCGGCACCACAAGAGGCAGCUUUACCCACUGUGAUACAGCACUGGCCCCCAGCCCCUGUAUCUUCUUUGAACUGUUUACUUCCUUUGUUCAUUUUUUUUUAAAGAUUUAUUUAUUUAUUUGAAAGGCAGAGUUACAGAUAGAGAGAAGGAGAACCACAGAGGGAGAUCUUCUAUCUGCUGGAUCACUCUCCAAAUGGCUGGAUUGGAAGUGGAGUAGCCAGGACUCAAACCAACACCCAUAUGGGAUGCCGGCGCUGCAAGCAGCAGCGUAUUCCGCUGUGCCACAGCGUUGGUCGCCUGGUCCACUUGCUCUCCUACAGUGCCACUCUGAGACUUCUCAUUGCUGGAGUGUUUUCAGCUCCACACUCGUGAAUGCAGAUAGGAACAGUUGUCCUUCUACAAUAUGACCACGACUCCAAGUGCCGUGAUUCUCAGGACUGGUUGUUAAACUUUAUGUCACCAGAUCCAAUGGAUACCACCAUCCCACAGCUUCCUUGACCUCUCAGCAGCAUUUCGAUGUGAUCAAUUGUCUUUAUUGAAAUACUGUUUGGUUGGGGGCCAGUGCUGUGGUGCAGUAAGCCCUGGCCUGAAGCGCCGGCAUCCCAUAUGGGCUCCGGUUCUAGUCCCGGCUACUCCUCUUUCGAUCCAGCUCUCUGCUUAUGGCCUUGGAUAGCAGUAGAAGAUGGCCCAAGUCCUUGGGCCCUUACACCCAUGUGGGAUACCCGGAAGAAGCUCCUGGCUCCUGGCUUCAGAUCGGCACAGCUCCAGCCAUUGUGGCCAUCUGGGAAGUGAACCAGCAGAUGGAAGACCUUUCUCUCUGGCUCUACCUCUCUCUGUAACUCUUGUCUUUCAAAUAAAUAAAAUAAAUCUUUUUUUUAACAAAAAGAAAUAUUGCUUGGCAUCUUUACAAUUUGUUGUUGUUUUUUACUUAUCAUUAUUAUUUGAGAGGCAGAGAGAGACACAGAUAUUUUCCAUCUGCUGGUUCACUCCCCAAAUACCUGCAGCAGCUUGGCUGAGCAGACCAAAGCCAGGAACUGGUAACUCCAUCCAGGUUUCUCACAUAGGUGGUAGCCAUCAUCUGCUGCCUCCCAGGGUACACGUUAGCAGCAAGCUCAAAUGAAAGUGGAGUUGGACUCAAACGCAGGCACUCCGAUAUGGGAUGCAGCAUCCCAAACAGCGUCUUAACCGUCGUGCCAGACUCCACUCCUGUCGUGACCCCUUAAUCCGACCUGCCUUCUACCUUUCUGGCUCAUCUCUCCGGUCACUCACUGCUUCACCUCCUUUGCUGGUUCCUUCUGUUCUACCUUAAUGACUCAGUGCUGUUCUCUUUGCUUUUCUCACUUCCACUGUCUGCCUCGUAUCUUAAGUUAUAUUUCUCUUUUGUUCCUAAAAUUGUUUGUUUAUGCUUUUCUCCACCCCAAAGUAAAAAUUAUGUUGUGCGGUAAAUUAGUCCAGUGGGUAUUCAUGAAAAAGCACAAGUCAGUUUGUUAUGGCCAUUAAAAUGUACUGCAUAUGUUCAGCAAGGCUCUCUGUCAUUGCCAGCUGUACAUCUUCCUUUUUUUUGGAAGGUGUCAUUUAUUUAUUUGAAAGGCAGAGUUGCAGAGAGAGAGAGAGAGAAGAUCUUGCAUCCACUGGUUCACUCCCCAAAUGUCCACAGUGUCUUGGACAGGGCCAGGCCAAAGCCAGGAACUUCAUCCAGAUCUCCCACAUGGGAUCAGGGGCCCAAGCACUUGGGCCAUCCUUCACUUUCCCAGGCCAUUAGCGGGGAGCUGGACUAGAAGUGGAGCAGCCGAGACUCAAACUUGCGUCUAUAUGGGAUGCCGGCACUGCAGGCCAGUGGCUUAACCCACUGCACCACGUUGCGGACUCCAUACAUCUUUGAUAAUGACUUUUGUCAGUUCCUUCUCUUGCUCUUCCGCCUUUUGUCUCUGGACUGUCUGUCUGCACUCAUGGGGGUGGCCAUCCCCCGUGGGAGCUGUGGCUCUCUUCCUCUGCAGGGUGUGGUCUGCUGUAGGGGUGCCAGCGCACUGUGCUGUGUUAGGCAGCAUCUUCCAUCUGUUGAUUCACUCCCCAGAUGGCUGCAAUGGCAGGAGCUGGUCCAGGCCAAAGCCAGGAGCCCAGAAUUUUGUGUCUCAUAUGGGUGACAGGGGCCCAAAUACCUGGGCCAUCUUCCCGCUGUUUUUCCAGGCUUGUUACCAGGGAUCUCGACUGGAAGCAGGGCAGCCAGGACUCAAACAGGUACUUUGAAAUGGGAUUCCAGCAUUGCAAGCCAGGGCUUAACUCACUGUGCCCCAAUGCUGGCCCAAAGACUAUAUUUUUAUGGUAUCUGCUAUUGAAAUGUAGUAAGACUUUGUGACUUAAAAUGCUCUGUGUAUUUUUAGAAGAAUAUAUAUUUUUUGGCCGGCACCGCAGCUCAGUAGGCUAAUCCUCCACCUGUGGCGCUGGUACACCGGGUUCUAGUCCCGGUCGGGGCACUGGAUUCUGUCCCGGUUGCCCCUCUUCCAGGCCAGCUCUCUGCUGUGGCCCGGGAGUGCAGUGGAGGAUGGCUCAAGUACUUGGGCCCUGCACCCCAUGGGAGACCAGGAGAAGCACCUGGCUCCUGGCUUCAGAUCAGCGUAGUGCGCUGGCUGCAGUGCGCCGGCUGCGGCGGCCAUUGGAGGGUGAACCAACGGCAAAGGAAGACCUUUCUCUGUGUCUGUCUCUCUCACUGUGCACUCCUCCUGUCAAAAAAAAAAAAAAAAAAAAAAAAAGAAUAUAUGUUUUUCAUUUGUUGGGUUCAGGAUGACCUAUGUAUUUGAUCAAGCUUGUGAUACUGUUCAUGUUGUCUGUCAUUACAAUUUUUAUGACUGCCUUAUUUAUCAGUUUCUGAUAAAUGUGUUACAGAAAGAAGGUGAAAUGGAGAGAGAGAGAGAGACAGGUCUUCCAUCCACUGGUUCACUCACCAAAUGGCCACAACAAACCCAGGGCUUGGGACCAGCGCUGUGGCGCAGUAGGUUAAUCCUCUGCCUACAGCGUUGGCAUCCCAUAUGGGUGCCGGUUCUAGUUUCAGCUGCUCCUCUUCUGAUCCAGAUCUCUGCUAUGGCCUGGGAAAGCAGUAGAGGAUUAUCCUAGUGCUUGAGGUCCCUGCACCCAUGUGGGAGACCCGGAAGAAGCUCUUGGCUCCUGGCUUGGGGUCAGCUCAGCUCUGGCCAUUGCAGACAUUUGGGAAGUAAACCAGUGGAUGGAAGACCCCUCUUUCUGUCUCUCCCUCUGUCUGUAACAGCCUCUCAAAUAAAUAAAGAAAAUCUUAAAAAAAAAAAAAAAAUCCAGGGCUGGACCAAGUUGAAGCCAGGAGACAGGAGCUUCUUUUGGGUCUCCCACAUGGGUGUAGGGGCCCGAGCACUUAGGCCAUCUUCUGCUUUCCUAGGCGCUUAUAAGCUAGGAGCUGGAUCAGAAGUAGAGCAGCCAGGACUUGAAUCUGUGCCCAUAUGAGAUGCUGGCACUGCAGGCCAUGACUUAACCCACUGUGCACUGGCCUGGAGAGGUUUUCUGUUCGCUAGUUCAUCUUCCAGAUCCCGCAGUAGCUGGGAUGCUGGGGCCCAAGCUCUGUUGGCUCUGCCUUAAAGCACCUAGAAUCUGAUAACCUCCGCAGUCACCACUGUAGUUGGAGAAAGUCCUCUGCCGCCAGGCUGAUUGGAGUGCUUUCUAGCUGGGCCCUGCCUCUGUCCUGCGGCCUAUAGUCUGUUCUGAUGGCAGCCAGAGAGAUCUGUGAGACCGUGUAGGUCAGAUCGUAUCUCCCUACUCCUUAAAACUCUCAAAAGUUUUUUCUUAUCACUUAGAAAAAGAUCUAAAUUCCUUACCAAGGACCAGUAUUUCACCCUUCUAAUCCCCAGUGUGAUUUGCUGCCCGCACCCCCUUCCUGCCUCCAUUCUAGUCCUUGAAGGAGUGCUCUCCCCUCUGCCUGUGAGGGGUGUGCAGUCUCAUCUCUCUUGCGAGGUCUUUCCCACAGGCUGGCUCCUUUGCAUUUGGUACCCCUCCCCAGAAAGCCAUUGCCGUCACCUUACCACCUGUCACUGUGCUCUAUUUUCCUGACUGAUUGGUCUGAUUACUUGUUUAACGGCUGUGUUCCUUCUAGAUGCUAUACGAUGAGGGAUUUAUCCAUCUUAAUUGCUCAGAUCUCAGAGUUUGAAAUGAUGCCUGGUGCAUAUAGCAGAGUUCAGUUAAUAUUGUUGCUUGGAUAGGAACUAUCACAAGUAACUAGGAAAGUCUGAUUUAGGACGUAGGUAUUAGGACUUCUUGUAGAUCUUAAUUUUUAUUCUAUUUAUUUAUUGCAUUUUAUUCAGUUCUGUCAAAUACCUGUCAAUAUUUCCUUUUUUAAAAAAAAAGAUUUAUUUAUUUUACCUGAAAGAGUUACACAGAGAGAAGAAGGAGAGGCACACCAAGAGAGAGAGAGGUCUUCCAUUCACUGUUCACUCCCCAACUGGCUGCAACAGCCGGAGCUGCACCGAUCUGAAGCCAGGAGCUUCUUCUGGAUCUCCUAAGUGGAUGCUGGGGCCCAAGGACUUGGUCCGUCCUCCAGUGUUUUCCCAGGCCACAGCAGAGAGCUGGAUCAGAAUUGGAGCAGCCGGAACUCGAACUGGCGCCCAUAUGGGAUGCUGGCACCUCAGGCGGCGGCUUUACCCGCUAUGCCACAGCACCGGCCCCGGUCUUAAUUUUUAAAUAGUAAUGCAUUCACGUGGUUCAAAAUUCAAAGGACAUGCAGUAAAAGUUCUCUCGUGCCAUGUACCCCAAAUAGCCCUCUUUUUCUCUUCAAAAUUAACCAGCGUUAAUUGUGACAGCCUGUAGUUAAACCCAGAAUCAGCUAUAAGGGUACUUCAAAAAGUUCAUGAUGGGACCAGUGCUGUGGUGUAGUGGGCGAAGCUGCCACCCGCAGUGCCGGCAUCCCAUAUGGGCAACAGUUCACAUUCCUGCUGCUCCGGUUCCAAUCCAGCUCUUUGCAAUGGCCUGGGAAAACAGUUGAAGAUGACCCAAGUCCUUGGGCCCUUGUACUCACAUGGAAGCACCAGAAGAAGCUCCUGGCUCCUGGCUUUGGAUUGGCCCAGUUCCAGCUGUUGGCAGCCAUUUGAGGAGGGAAUCAGGAUGGAAGAGCCCCUCGUGCUGUCUGUCUCUUUGUAACUCUGCCUUUCAAAUAAAUAAAUAAAUCUUUUUUUUUUUUUUUAAAGUUCAUGGUGCAAAUGUUUGAAUUUCAUGCAUACUUUUUCAUAAUAUACACCAGGUGAAUGUAUUGAAGACUCUCGUGUGCCUGAAUUUCUGAUAUUUUUGUACUUAAAUCAUCAUUUAAUUUUUCACAAACUUUUAAAAUUAUCCUUGUAUUUUCUUUGCUCCCUUUAAAAAGCAAAUUUUGGAGGCAGGUAUGUGGUGUAGCAGGCUAAGCCACUCGCUGCUUGGAUUCUCUGCAUUCCAUAUCGCAGUGCCGUUUCAAGUCCUGGAUACUCUGCUUUCGACCCAGCCUCUUGCUGAGGCACCAGGGGGCCUGAGAAGGCAGCAGAUGGCCCAGUGCUUGCAUCCCUGCCACCUGUCUGGAAGACUUUCUGGGCUCUUGGUUUUGACCAGGCUUUCAAAUGUGUCGUCUCAUAGGACCUCCCAGACACUUGGCAGAGAGGAAGUGGUGUUUCCCAUAUUAUUUAUAGACGGGAAAGGGGAGCCUCUGAGGACUGCGGCGACUUGCCAUGGCUGCACAGUGGCCAGUGGCCGUGUGAGACUGCAGAAGCUCUGCCAGGUUGCAGCUGGGUCUCUCAGAUCCCAGAGCCUAUGCUCUUUCUAGCACCUGCUUUGCUUUUUCUGUGAACCCAUACUUCCAGAGAAUAACUGAGUGUGUGGCUGUCAUGUGCUCAUGCAACAAAUGGCUGUUGAUACCUACAUGUCUAGGUUUCUCCCAUCGUAUGCUUAGCCUCAUCCACUAAGCAGCAACCCUGUAGCUUUUUUUUUUUUUUUUUAGGUUUUAUUUAUUUAUUUGAAAAGCAGAGUUACAGAGAAGCAGAGAGAGAGAGGGGACUCUUCUAUCCGCUGGUUUACUCCCCAGAUGGCCACAAUGGCUGGAGCUACACUGAUCCAAAGCCAGGAGCCAGGAGCUUGGACCCCUGCACCCACAUGAGAGACCCAGAAGAAGUUCCUGGCUCCUUAGCGUUGGCCUUGCCUGGCCCUAUCUGUUGCAGCCAUCUGGGGAGUGAACUAGUGGAUGGAAGAUGUCUGUCUCUCCUCUCUUGGUAACUCUUUCAAGUAAAAUAAUAAAUCUUAAAAAAAAAAAAAAGUUCUGAGGCUGGCAUGUGGCCACCUGCAGUGCCAGCAUCCCAUAUGGGCACCAGUUCAAUUCCCGGCUGUUCCAUUUCCGAUACAGCUUCCUGCUGAUGUACCUGGGAGGACGGUGGAAGAUGGCCCAAGUACUUGGGUUCCUGCACCCACAUAGGAAACCUGGAAGAAGCUCCUGGCUCCUGGCUUCGGCUUGGCCCAGCCCUGGUAGUUGCAGCCAUUUGGGGAGUGAACCAGCUGCUGAAAGAUCUCUCUCUCUCUCUGUCUCUGUCUCUGUCUCUGUAACUCUGUCUUUCAAAUAAAUAAAAUCGGCCGGCGCCGCGGCUCACUAGGCUAAUCCUCCACCUAGCGGCGCCGGCACACCGGGUUCUAGUCCCGGUUGGGGCACCAGAUUCUGUCCCGGUUGCCCCUCUUCCAGGCCAGCUCUCUGCUGUGGCCCGGGAGUGCAGUGGAGGAUGGCCCAAGUGCUUGGGCCCUGCACCCCAUGGGAGACCAGGAGAAGUACCUGGUCUGGCUCCUGCCAUUGGAUCAGCGUGGUGCGCUGGCCGCGGCGGCCAUUGGUGGGUGAACCAACGGCAAAGGAAGACCUUUCUCUCUGUCUCUCUCUCUCACUGUCUACUCUGCCUGUCAAAAAAAAAACAAAAAACAAAAAACAAACAAACAAACAAACAAACUAAUGCUGUAUCAUUUUUAGUAAAAUCUCAAUUGGUUGGAAAAAGCAAUUUUGCUGUCUUGACUUUGACCUUCCCCCCUUCUCACAUAAAAAUACCCACCUCAUAUUUAUAUGUAUUUCUGGAAAGGCAGGUAAAUAGAAAAUUUAAUUUAUUUUUAAAAUGCCUUAAAAGGAACAAAAUGCUCGUAGUUCUUCAUUUGAGUGAAUUUAGCUGAUGUAAAUUCAUGUUGCUUAAUAGUGAUAAUAUCUAGUAUUUUAAAAAUAUUUAUUUGAAAAAGUCAGAGAGAAGGAGACACACAGAGAGAGAUCUUCCAUCUGCUGGUUCAUUCCCCAAAAGGCUGGAAUGGUCUGUUGGCUGAAGCCAGGAGCCAACAGCUUCAUUUGGGUCUCCCCCGUGGGUGGUGGGGACUGACCCACAUGCUUGGGCCAUCUUGUGCUGCUUUUCCAGAUGCAUUAGCAGGGAGCUGGAUGGAAAGUGAUGCCACAGGGACAUAAACCAGCGCCCAUAUGCGGUGUGAGCUGAAGGCAGUGGCUGGCCCACUACAUGACAACACCAGACCCCAUAAAGCCUUUUUUAAAUUGGAAAAGCAGAAUAAGAGAGAAAGAGAUCUUUCACCUGCUGUUUACUCUCCAAAUGCCCACAACAGCCAGGCUGAGCCACGCUAAACCAGGAACUGAGGACUCAAUCCUAGUCUCCUCCAUGGGUAGCUGCUUCCCGGGGCGCAUUCACAGGAAGCUAGAUGGGACGCGGAGACAGGACGUGGAUAUGGGACGCCGGCAGGCACCCCAGCAGCUGCUCCUGUGCCACAGCCUCUGCCCGGUAUUUGUGGAUAAUUACAGAAGUAGCCACACAGGGACAUAGAUUGUUUCUUUAAUCUGCUUCUUGUGAAUAGCUUUGUAAAUGUGCAUUGGCUGACAAGUGUUAACUUUUAGACUGGGGCAUUUUUAGUCUUCAGUGUGGAGUGUCUUACUCAGUUCUGAGUUGGCCUGCUAACCUACAUUUUAAAUACAGUGCUUUCCCUCAUUGAGACCAGAUAUAGUGCCUUCCCCGUUUAGCCUAGUAUUUUUUUUUUUCAGGUCUUCAAAAUUUUAACUUUCAAAUGCUAAAGUACUACUGAUUACCUGAAAACAAAUUCCACCAUGUAACCCUUUUAGCUGUCUCGUCUAGAUUAAGGAUAAUUUGGAACACAAUUUUACUAGAAUCUCUAGAAGAACAUAAAAUGGAUUGUAAAUUCUCAGCUCAGUUCUUGUGAGAAAAUUUUCUUGUUUUAGAUCUACAUUAGUGGAAAUACAGGGAUGUGAACUGAGAACAGAUUGGAUUUCAAAGAGGGUUCUGAAAAACUUAUCUUUAUUUGCCACUAUAGCAAAUUAGGAGCACACAGUGAACUGUUGAAGAAUAAAACAAUAGGACCAGCCAUGUUGUCCUUAGCUGUCCCCUGAACAAUUAGUUUCUUGAAAGAAUUUUUCUGGCCUUUCUCAUCUCCUUGAGUGACAUCACUGAUGACAGGAAACAUGAAUAUAGACUCCAAUAGCCCUGAUUGGUGUGAAAGUUAGAAUUUGGCCUGUUCAAAAUAUAUCAUCACCUGCUGGUGAUAAAUAAUUGCUACUCAUGCAUUUGCCUCUUUUUUUUUUUUUUAAGAUUUAUUUUUUUAUUUGAAAGAGUUAUGCCGGCGCCGAGGUGCCGGCGCCGCGGUGCCGGCGCCGCAGCUCACUAGGCUAAUGCUCCGCCUUGCGGUGCCGGCACACCGGGUUCUAGUCCCAGUCGGGGCACCGGAUUCUGUCCCGGUUGCCCCUCUUCCAGGCCAGCUCUCUGCUGUAGCCCGGGAGUGCAGUGGAGGAUGGCCCAAGUGCUUGGGCCCUGCACCCCAUGGGAGACCAGGAGAAGCACCUGGCUCCUGGCUUCGGAUUAGCGCGGUGCGCCGGCCACAGUGCGCUGGCCAUGGCGGCCAUUGGAGGGUGAACCAACGGCAAAAGGAAGACCUUUCUCUGUCUCUCUCUCACUAUCCACUCUGCCUGUCAGAAAGAAAGAAAAAGGAAGGAAGGAAGGGUUACACAGAGAGAGAAAAGGCAGAGAAAGAGAGAGGUAGGUCUUCCAUCCGAUGGUUCACUCACCAGUUGGCCACAACGGCUGGAGAGACAGAGAGAAAGGUCUUCCUUUGCCAUUGGUUCACCCUCCAAUGGCUGCCGCGGCCGGCGCACCGCGCUGAUCCAAAGCCAGGAGCCAGGUGCUUCUCCUGGUCUCCCAUGGGGUGCAGGGCCCAAGCACUUGGGCCAUCCUCCACUGCACUCCCUGGCCACAGCAGAGAGCUGGCCUGGAAGAGGGGCAACCGGGACAGAAUCUGGUGCCCUGACCCGGACUAGAACCCCGGGGUGCCGGUGCCACAGGCGGAGGAUUAGCCUAGUGAGCCGCGGCGCCGGCCAGAAUUCCUUUUUUUUUUUUUUUUUUAAUUAUUUAUUUGAAAGGCAGAGUGACAGAGAGAGGGACACACACACACACACCCUUCUAUCCACUUGUUUAUUCCUCAGAUGGCCACAUUAGCCGGAGCUGGGCCAAGACAGUAGCUCAGAACUCCGUCUUGGUCUUCCAUGUAAGUGGCAAGGACCCAAGUACUUAGGCCAUCAUCCACUUCCUUUCCAAGUACAUUUACAGGGAGCUGGAUCAGAAGCAGUGUAGCUGGGACUUGUUCUGGCACUCUGAUACAGGAUGUAGACAUCCUAAAAGGCAGUUCAAUCCCCCACACCUCAAGGUCUGCCCCUAGAAUCCUAUUUAUUAUUUUAUAUUUUUUCACUUAAUAAAAUAACAUUUUUGUACUUGUAAACAUCUUCAUCUUAAAUGGCCACAUAAUAUUUUGGUUUUUUUUUAAAUAUAUAGAAUAUAAAUGUUGAUUAUUUUGUGUAUAUUUUUGCUAACUAAUUUUGAAAGCAUACCACUAAAAUUUAAGUGUAGAUCUGGGUCAACCACAGAGCCAGGAGCAACAUUCCUGACCACUCCAGAAACCUCCCCUGUGGCCCAUUCCCCUCGCCCUACAAGAGUAACCAUUGACUUCACUUACAACAUCACAAGUUAGUUGUUGUUAUUUUUGAACUUCAUAUAAAUAGGAUUACUUAGCAUAUAUUUCUUUUGUAUGUGACUUCUUUCACUCAAGAUUAGUGUUGGAUGUUCACCCAUGUUUUUCCAGUGCAUGCAUUCCAUGAGUAGUGUUAUGUGUAUGACCUAUUGUUUAUCUUACCUCUUGUAGGAAAACAUUUGGGUUGGGCUAGUUUGGCUAUUACAAUAGUUUACACACUUGGAAAAUAUUCCAUAUUCCAUAUGAUUCGAGACCCUGGUGCUCCAUUUCUGAUCCAGCUCCCUGCUAAUGCGCCUGGGAAAGCAGUGGAAGGUGGCCCAAGUCCUUGAGAGCCUGCAUUCACGUGGGAGACCCAGGAAAAGCUCUUGGCUCCUGGCUUCAGAUCAGCCCAACUCCAGCCUUUGCAGCCAUUUGCGGAUGAAAGAUAUUUUUCUCUGUCUCUCUCUGCCUUUCAAAUCUUCUUCUUCUUCUUUUUUUUUUUUUUUUUUUUUUUGACAGAGUUAGUGAGAGAGAGACAGAGAGACAGAGAGAAAGGUCUUCCUUCCAUUGGUUCACCCCCCAAAUGGCUGCUACGGCUGGUGCACUGCACCAAUCUGAAGCCAGGAGCCAGGUGCUUCCUCCUGGUCUCCCAUGCGGAUGCAGGGCCCAAGCACUUGGGCAUCCUCCCCUGUCUUCCUGGGCCACAGCAGAGAGCUGGACUGGAAGAGGAGCAACCGGGACAGAAUCCAGUGCCCCAACUGGGACUGGAACCUGGGGUGCCGGUGCCAUAGGCUGAGGAUUAGCCUAGUGAGCCCUGGCCCAGCCUUCAAAUAAAUCUUAAAGAAAAUAAAUUAAGGAGCUGAUGCCAUGGUGUAGCAGUUAAAGCCACUGCCUACAGUGCCGGCAUCCCAAAUGGGUACCAGUUCAAGUUCUGGCUGCUCCAUUUCCAAUCCAGCUCUCUGCCUGGGAAAGCAGCAGAAGAUGGCCCAAGUCCUUGGGCGCCUGCACUCACAUGGGAGACCUGGUAGAAGCUCCUGGCUCCUGGCUUCGGAUCGUCUUAGCUCUGGCUGUUGCAGCCAUCUGGAGAGUGAACCAGCAGAUGGAAGACUCUCUCUCUCUCUCUCUCUCUCUCUCUCUCUCUGUAACUCUGCCUUUCAAAUAAAUAAAUAAAUGUUUGAAAGAAAGUAAAACAGUAUGAUUGGUAAGAAUUAAAAUAUAAUUGAAACUAAUUUUAAAAACUAAAAAAAAAAAAAAAGUAUUGCUGUGUGUUGCCAAAUUGCCCUUUCUGAAGGGCGAGAGAGACAGAGAAAGGUCUUCCUUUGCCGUUGGUUCACCCUCCAAUGGCCGCUGCGGCCGGCGCACCGCACUGAUCCGAAGCCAGGAGCCAGGUGCCUCUCCUGGUCUCCCAUGGGGUGCAGGGCCCAAGCACUUGGGCCCUCCAGUGCACUCCUGGGUCACAGCAGAGAGCUGGCCUGGAAGAGGGGCAACCGGGACAGAAUCCGGCGCCCUGACCGGGACUAGAACCCAGUGUGCUGGCGCCGCAAGCGGAGGAUUAGCCUAGUGAGCCGCGGCGCCGGCCGAAGACUGUUCUUGUUACCCCGUGACAGCCAGGCAGUCACAGGUGCGGCCUUCCCAGUCCGCAUUUUGCAGCUGCUUCCUAUUUGGUUACUAGAGAUCUGCCAGGGCCUGAUAACUAAAGUGUCUAAAACAGGCUUUUGCUAAUCUGGAAAAAAAAAAUCAGACCUGUUUGUGUGCCUGUUUCUGAGGUGGCUUAGAAGAUUUAUGCCCUAAAAAAUUUAGACUAGUUGGUGAGAUCGAUUUAUGUGACAAAUAUCCAUGAGUGCAAGUGCCUAGGGGAGAGCUAGGCUUCUCCUCACAGCAGUCUUUAGAAUCAUCAGACCCUUGUGGUCCUCUUUGAUUUGAGCUGCUUCCUUCAGCUGAUGCCUGGCUGGAUUAGAGAGGGAGUUACAGAGGCCAGAUUUUGGCCACUUGUUUUAGUAGCUGAUCUCCAUUAAUGUGUAAGAUACGUUUAAUAUUCUCUGACACUAGCUUUCUUCUUCCUGUUUGAAAACACAGCAGUAUACUGGGUCAUUUGAAAUUUCAUGUUAACAUUCAGUAGUUCAUUAUUUCAACUGGAGUUGGAUGAUUGAAAAGAAAGUGACAACUUGAUGUGGUUGGAAGUGCGUUCCUUGAGCACAUCCCCAGAUCUUCCUGAGCCUUGCUUUCUGUGUAGGGUGAAGAAUGUUGGAAGGUUGAAGCCUGGUGUGGAUUUGGCACAUUUUUCACUUAGAAUGAGAGCUGCUCUGCAGAUUACUGCUUCUGUUACUCAGCAACUUGAAUAGGAAAAUCUAAGAAUCAUUUACGUGCCCUGCCAAAUAUAAUAAGUCCACAGAUUGUUCACAGGGCAGAGAACCACAGUGUAGUGAUAGGCAGCUAUAGGAGCCGCCCCUGCUCUGUAGCGGUCUUUACCAGCGUUGUCUCGCACUCUCAGGAGGACAUGGAAUUUCCCUUCCCCUGCUGUUUUCAGUAGGAACUUUAAAAAUUAUUUUCUAAGAAUUUGCAGGGAGUGUCUUUUGCAGAAUGGAAAGCAUCUUUCCUUUUUCUCCAUUUGAGAUGUUGGUAUUCCCUUUGGAAUAGGAAUGCAUAUUUCUAUGCAUAUUUAACAGAGGAGUUUAAUAAAAAAUAGGUCAUUUGAAUAUGUCAGCAUUUUAAUGUGAUGAGGUCUGGUGUUAGGAUGUGUGCAAAUUGAAUUUACCUAAUGUUUAUUCAUAGUUCUUCUUAAUGAAGAAAUCAGUAUUUCAUUAGCCUGAGUGAAGCUCCGUGACAGCCUGGUGCCUCGCCUUGUGAAGCUGAGCUGUCCUGAGCAGGGUCAGCAGCUUGCCGAGUACAUUCCUGAAACCUGCUCUGAGGGAGGAGUAGCAGACUUGACAUAGCUAACGAUUUCUAAGUGACAGGCUGCCUUGAGAAAAAAUGACAUGUGCUAGCAACAGGAGCUUGUUAGUUGUAGUGGAUGCCUUGACCAACAGUGCUGGGCCAAGGGAGAAGAUGCUGUUGCAUCACGUCGGCCUCCCCGCGCAGCCACUCACGGUCAAAGCAGUUGUGGAGGAAGGCGCUGGUGUGGGCCUCUGAGAAGCCAAGCUUCAGCAUUGCACCUUGUACCGGUUUGUGGCUGUGCCCCUUUCCCACUUGCAGGGGACAUAAAGGUAACCCUCCACACGUCUUGCAUCGCAGUAUUUGCCCCUGUUCUGAAAGGCCGGUGGUGACGCGCUGUCCUGUCGUCUCCUCCGUGUAGUUCUCUGCUCCGCCUCUGCUACUGUGCAUGCCAGAGGCACUCUGAAACGUGGGUGGAAGGCGCUCAUUCCAGGGUGAGAGGCCAUUGGAGAGAGCCAGCAGGUGACCCCAGUUCUGUGGGCUUAGUAAAGGGGAUGCGGUCUGUGUUGCCAGACAAGUGUGGGCUGUGCCUACAAAAGUGUGUAUUUGUGAGAAUGGAGGAAACAUGGAAACUAAGGCAAGGAAAUUACUGUUUGUUUUGGAAAAUUAUGUUGGAAGGAAAACAUGCUGAAACUUGACUUCUGCUGUUGUCUUUCUCCAGGAAAUUCAGGGCAGAAAAAAUAUUCCUGAUUGUCUUCAUUUAUGUUUCUUUGAAGGUAUUAAUGAAUGAGAAUUUUCAAAGCCUGUAAGAUAAGCAUCAAGUCCUUCUGUGUUCAGAAGAGGAACUAACUUUUCUCAAGUGCCAGACAUUAUGCUGGCGACUUUACAUAUGUUGGCAUAUUUUAUUUUGUUCAAAUUAUUUGCUUAUUUUCACUAUAUUUGAAAAACAGACAGAGAAGGAUCCUUCAUCUACUUGUUAACUCCUCAGACAGUUCCAAUAGCCAGGGCUGGGUCAGGCCAGAGCCAGGAUCCCAGAACCCCAUCCUGGUCUCCCACAUGAGUGUAGGGCCCCAGGUACUUGAGCCAUCAUCUGCCCCCUCCCAGGGUGCACAUUAGUAGGAAGCUGGAUCAGACAUGGAGUGGGGACUUGAACCUAGGCACUCAGAUACGAAUGUGGGCAGCACAGGUAGCCUCCUAAACGAUUGCACCAAUCACUCCUCUAGUGCUCUAAUUUAAUGGAACAGUCAAGUGAGAUGUGUUCAUUGAGAAGGUAGAUCUGGAAUCUGGGCCCAGCUGAGCAGGGCUGGACUGUCUUACUCCCACUUCAGUAAGCACAGGAACAUGGAGUCCACAGUGGUAGAAUUUUAGAUCCAGGUGCUGCCUCAGAUGCCAUCUCGUGAGCUUCCCCUGAUAGUGCAAAAGAGCGAGCCCCGCGUUGGGAUUAAGAUGGCAGACUACUGCUUGGUUCCUCUUGACAGCAUGUCUGUUUCCUGUAUAUAAAGUGAGAGUGGCAGUAAGACUGACAGCACAGGUUUAUUGUGGAGGCUGAAAGAACUGAAGCGCAAAGGUGCUUUGUAAGCUGUAAAGUGACAUGCCAGUAUUUGCUGGGGCGUGAUGUUUUCUUUCACAUACAAGCAUCCAAGAAGGCAGUUAGUUGUUGGUUAGGAUUGUGUGCAGCCAAAGAACGAUAGAUUUGAUUUUGUAUUUGGCUGCAGGUCUUUUUUGGUUUCUGUUACCCCCUACGCCCCACCCCCAUUUUUGCAUGGUGUCCUAAGGCAGGUAUUCAAGGAUACCUGGGCUGAGCCGUCGCACGGAGAGUGGCAAAGCAUGCAAAGAAGUUCCUGUCCUUGAAACGUUGGAACUGUACAAUUGGCUGACAGGUUGUUACUGUUGGGCUAAGUGAUUCCUUGCCUGACCAGGUUCUGCCAUCACAGAACAAGCCUUGGGCUCUUUGCCUACCGUUCAUGACAGCCGUGUGGCUGUUUUGGAGGAGGAGGACGUGCGGGUGUUUCUCCUUCAGGAGCAGGCAGGUUGGGCUGCAGAAUCAGCAUCUGUGCAAUGCUGUCCAGCUUGUUGUUUCUGGCAUGAACUGUUUGCUGCCUGUCAAGUGUGGGCAGUGAAGAUGUUUGAAAACCACCUUGUGGUCUUUUGUCAUUGGACCUAGUUAUUUCUUACUAUGUUGAAGAAAAUUUUGGUUAAAUUGUACAUUGAGCUUUGUUCAACAAACAAAUCUGUCUUGGUUCUGAGAGGUCAGUGUUCCAUAUCAUUCAUGCCUUUUGCUUGGAAGGCACAGGGUUUCCUUGUUUUCAACAGGUGUGGUACAGCCCCAGGCCAUGGGUGUGAACUAAUCCCUAACUGGCACUGGAAGCCCCAAGCCUGCCUGGGUUAAAAGUUUCCCUCAAGAUAAACUUUGAAACAAUCUUGGUAAUGUAGUUUAUUUUGUAUCUCAAGUUUUGUUUGUUUGAAAGGUAGAGACAGUGAGAGAUCAGCCUUUCACUGAUGACAUCCCAAAUGGUAGCACUGGGCCAGGCUGAAGCGGGGAGCCAGGAACUCUGUCUGGGUCUGUUACAUGGAUGGCAAGGACACAAAUACUUGGUCCUUUAUUGCUGCCUCCCAGGGUCACAUUAGCAGGAAAUAGAGUAAGGACUUGAACCCAGAUUCUGUAUGGGGUGUGGGCACCUUAACCACUAGGCUAAACCUCCACCCUAGAAUGUCCAGUUUAAACGUAGGCCCCCUUUGUUCCUUUUCUUUUCAGAUAAGUGAUCCUUUGUGGCCUGGGAAGUAGUCCCUUGGUCACUCCUGUUGUGGUUGUCUGAGAUGUGUUCAGGAGGAGUGAUAGUGGGGAGCUGCUUCAGUUCUCUGCUGAUUUUCAGAACGGCAUCUGGGCGACCUUUGAUGCCACCAGUACUGCUCCACCUAUUUUUGAGUAAUCUGUUCGGGCUGUUGGUGACUCAGCAGCUCCUGACUUGGUUCUUGGUUUUAAAAAGGAGCUAAACUUGGACAAUGUAUGGAAGAUAGUUACCAUAUUCCAGCUAAUUCACGUGGCUGUGGCAGACACUCAGUGAAGUGCGAGUGGAAGACUAUCGCUCAUAGAUGGGUGGGUUGGGCAGGGGAGUGACGUUUGUGCUGUGGUGAGCAGAUGUGUGGAUGUUGGGGGUUGGACAGUUUGAUAGGCAAAGAGAAGACUGCAAGGAAAGGCCAUGCACAGUGUGUGUUGGCAAAGGUGGCAGCCAGGCUCCUGUGGAGGGAGCCUGUGUGAGGGGCAGCAGUGUGAGCCCACACUGGGAACGAAUCCUGAGCGUUGAGCUGCUUGCCUCACAGACCAGUGGCUUCCUGAUGAUGAAUCUGGCAGCACGUGUGGGAUGACUUGGGCGUGGGUAGAAAUGGGUGGAAGGAGACUGGUGCAAGGUCAGGGAGGCUGAGCUAGACUGGGCUCCAACUAGGGGGGAGGUCAGUCCAGAUCCGGGCAGGGGGUACCAUUUAAGGGGGACCUGAAUGGACAGGAGUAAAGGUGGGGCAAGGACUGGGGUGCUGAAUAUGGGGUAGUGGACUCCGGAGGGUCGUGAGAGUGAUUUCAGGUGUAGAGAGAUGAGCUCCAGCAGCUGUUGAGUAUGCCAGCAAAAGGACGUUUUACUCUUUUUUGUCUGCAGUGUUGCUCAGAUGGGGUUUAUGGCAUGGGGAAGGUGAACAUAAAGUCCACCACUCCCCCUAGUACAUUUAUUUAAAAUCUUGUCUAAAAUCAUGAUUUGACAUUUAUGUUUCAAAAUAGGCUUGAAAUAUUUUUCAUUCCACAGAUGCUUCUGGGCAUUCAGGAGUAUCAGGUAGCAGGCUCCCAACAAAGAGAGCUUGGCACAGGCCCAUGUGAUAUGGCAUGGCUGUUGCCACUGAACCUUGGGAGCGGGACUGCCCUCUCAUCUCACGCUCUUCCUCUGCAUUCCUGUGGGGCAGGGUCCGCAGGUGAAGCUGGGGGUGAGGGCGUGUGAGCUGGAGGGUUUCUUUGGCAGAUUGUGUGGUGCUGGAAAGAUCAAGACCUAGAGUCCUAUCAGUGCCACGCUAAACCAACCUCGCUAACUCCCUGUUUUAACAGCGUUCAUCAUGAGAAUUUUAGGGAUUUUAAGGUCAGAAAUCCAAGAAAAAUAAAGCAUGACAUUUAAAAAUGUUUACUUAUUGAUUGAGGCUUUGCGAACCAGUUCUGUUUGUGUUAUACAGCUUUCUAAACCAUCGUUUAACUUUUUCUAUUAAAUUGAGAACCUAAUAAGCAGGAUGAACCACUGGCAAGUUUUUGUAAUCAGUGACUCCUUACCUAUAAACUCAUGACCAUAAUGAUAAAAGUGGAUCUUGCCAGUGACAAACCUCAGGAACAGCCAUGGUUUGCUUCAUUCAACUAAUAUUGAGCACCUGUGACAUGCUGGAUACUCUGCUGAGGCUGGAAACCACAUGUAAUCUAAUUGUUAAAAAUUGGUAAGAUUUUUAAUUAGUUGAUUUUGCCAUAAAUUCAUGUUUAAGGAUAGGAGUUUGACUUGGUGGUUAAGAUACCCACAGCCCUAGAGAGCCUGGGUUCUAUUCCUGACUCCAGCUUCUUGCCAGUGGGUACCUUGGGAGGCAGUGGUGAUGGCUAAAGUAAUUGGGUUCCUGCCACUGCCACUGCCACCCAUGUAGAAGUCUUGGAUCACGUAGAAGUCUUGGAUUUGGCUGGCACCGAGGCUCAAUAGGCUAAUCCUCCGCCUUGCAGCGCCGGCACACUGGAUUCUAAUCCCGGUCGGGGCGCCGGAUUCUGUCCCGGUUGCCCCUCUUCCAGGCCAGCUCUCUACUGUGGCCUGGGAGUACAGUGGAGGAUGGCCCAAGUGCUUGGGCCCUGCACCCCAUGGGAGACCAGGAUAAACACCUGGCUCCUGCCUUCCGAUCAGCGCGGUGCGCUGGCCGCGGCGGCCAUUGGAGGGUGAACCAACAGCAAAAGGAAGACCUUUCUCUCUGUCUCUCUCUCACUGUCCACUCUGCCUAUCCAAAAAAAAAAAAAAAAAAAAGUCUUGGAUUGAUUUCCUGGCUCUGGACUUCUGCAUGGCCCAUCCCAGCCCCAGCCACUGUGGGACUGGGGGAGUGUAACAGCAGUUAGGAGCAUGCUGUCUCUCUGCCUCUCAAAUAAAUAAAUAAAAUAUAUUGUUUAAGAUUAUAUAAUUGGCAAUUAGUAGGAUACAAAGCAUUUUUAAAAUUCCAAAGUAUGCAAAAUCCACUAGAAAGCUGAAGAGAAAAAGCUAAUUUUGUAGAACAGUACAGUGAUAACCGGUUAACAAAAACUUCUGCUUAAAGGACUUUUUGUUGUUACUUUACUAUUAAUUGCUGAUAAUGGACAUAAAACAACUCUAAAAUCAUGUAAGUGAUUAAGUACUAAACAUUGUAGAAUGAGUGCCAUGCUUGACAGUCGAGAUAAAGGAGCCAGCACAAAGAAUGGCAGUUGGGAAAAUACUUGCUGGAGGUUGUGGGGCUUGAAUGUAUGGGUGAGAUUACUCAGAAAGGAGACAGAGAUCCCCCGGCCUAGAGAGUGACGCAGUGAAGAAAAAAGGACAGUGUGCCUGGACCAAGGCGAGGCUGCGUGGUGCGGAGGGAGCGGGGUGGGGGAGAGCAGGCUCCUGACCUGGACUCCUUCCGGUUGUCCUCAUCUGUGAAAUGUGGUUAAGAUGUAUCUACUUGGAAGGAUGAGAUGAAGUGGGGUGAUGAUUGUCAAGUUCCUGGGGUAGGCCAGGUGCACAGGAAGUGUUAAAUAGACUGAAGUUGGUAUUGCCGCUGGGGAGGAUGGACAGCGCUGUGGAGAGCUGGGAGACUAGGUCCUCCUUGAUACUUUGGUUGAUAUGCUGCAAAUUAGGAAGCCACAGAAGCAUUUGGAUCAGAGGUUGGCUGUGACUAGAAUAAAUUAAUAACCAUAGCUGCCAUUUGUGUAACUCUGUACGCACUGUGCUUUCCAUCCAUCAUCUGCAGCCCUCACCAGUGCUCUGCCGGGGAGGGGGGUGAGAGACUAUUCCCUGAAGCACAGUGAGGAAAAAGCCCCUUGCCCAAGCCCACCUGGGUACCUAGAGGGAAGGCAGGUUUUGAACCUGUGUUUGCCUGGACCCAGAGUCUGGGCUCCUUCUCCGUCCACCAGACUUUCUCUUAACUGGGAGCCAUCUGCCUCCAUGGGGCACAUAGUUGGAAAUGCUACUAGAGAGUUGUGUGAACUCAGACUACAUGUUGGCAGUCUCGUCUGCCAUCAGUGCAUGGAGGAGGAACUUAGUGAUGGGCUGUAGAGGAAAGAGGACCAAAGGAGUGAGAAAGGAUGAUUCUGGUUGAAAGGAAAGCCUGACUUUUCUCUGUGUGGGACUGGUGGGACCCCAGAAGCUCAGGCACGGCUGGUGGUGUCCGUGGGUUUUUGAAAAUACAGUUUUUAUGGAUGUGGCCCUCACGGUCACCUCAGGCCUCUCAGUUAGCCUCACCUGAUGGAGGUGAUGUGUUGCCUGGCUGGAUUUCUGUGCUUCUGGGUGUGUUCAGGGCCGUGGUAGGACUGGGGAGGGAGGAUUGCUAGGAGGGAACCUAACUGAUCUUUGGGCCAUGUCAGCUUCUCUUAUUAUUUUUUAAGGUUUAUUUAUUUAUUUAUUUGAAAGGUAGAAUUACAAAGAGAGGGGAACGAACAGAGAGGGAGGGCCGGUGCCGUGGCUCACUUGGCUAAUCCUCCACCUGCGGUGCCGGCACCCCGGGUUCUAGUCCCGGUUGCUCCUCUUCCAGUCCAGCUCUCUGCAGUGGCCCGGGAAGGCAAUGGAGGAUGGCCCAAGUGCUUGGACCCUGCACCCCACGGGAGACCAGGAGAAGCAUCUGGCUCCUGGUUUCGGAUCGGAGCAGCGCGCCGGCAGUAGCGGCCAUUUGUGGGGUGAACCAAUGGAAAAAGGAAGACCUUUCUCUCUCUCUCUCUCUCUCUCUUUCUCACUGUCUAACUCUGCCUGUCCAAAAAAAAAAACCAGAGAGGGAGAGAUCUUCCAUUGGCUGGUUCACUCCCCAGAUGGCUGCCAUAGCCAAAGUCUGGGCCACGCCAAAGCCAAGAGCUUCAUCCAGGUCUCCUACAUGGAUACAGUGGCCCAAGGACUUGGGCCAUCCUCAUCUGCUCUCUCAGGCAUGUUAACAAGGAGCUGGAUCAGAAGUGGAGCAGCUGGGAUUUGAACUGGUACCAUAUAGGGUGCUGGCACUGCAGGUAACCGUUUAACUCACUAAACCACAACACUGGCCCCCAGGUGUGCUUUUGUGUCUUCUAAGACAGUGCUACUCAUAGUUGUGUUGAAGAACCAGUAUUUUAAAAUUUCUACUCUGUUUGGAUUUGCUUUUGGAAUAUAAGAAAGGAUUACUAAUAAGGGAAACUGAAAAAAAAAAAAAAAACACAAACUCUUAACUUUGUUAUUAUUAGGUUCAAUAGAUUUAGAAUUUUUCAUUGCUAUAAAAGUUCCUAAAUUCUUAUUCUCAAUUUCUGUCCUACACACAAGCAUGUUUGCAGCUUGCAAACUGCUCAUGGCCUGGUACACUGGGAGAGCAGGGAUCUGGGGAGAAAGUUUGCUAAGCAAAUUAGUAAGGAGGAUUUUUUGGAAUGUUUACCCAGUUUAAGGGUAAAAAUAAUAUUCCAAUUGUCAUUUAAAAUACUUGACAUCUUGGGGCCAGGCACUGUGGCAUGGUAGGUAAUGCCACUGCCUGCAGUGCUGGCAUCCCAUUUGGGUACCAGUUUGAGUUCUGGCUGCUCCACUUCUGAUCCAGCUCUCUGCUAUGGCCUGGGAAAGCAGUAGAAGAUGGCCCAAGUCCUUGGGCCCCUGCACCUGCGUGGAAGACCAGGAGGAAGCUCCAGCUCCUGGCUUUGGAUGGGCCCAGCUCCUGCUGCCGCAGCCAUUUAGAAAAUGAACCAGUGGGUGGAAGACCUUUCUUUCUCUCUGCCUCUGCCUCUCUGUAACUCUGCCUUUCAAAUAAAUAAAUAAAUCUUCAAAAAAAAAAAAAAAAAAGAACACAA